CGCUGCGAUCUAAAGUCUAAAACGACUCUCGGCAACGGAUAUCUCGGCUCUCGCAUCGAUGAAGAACGUAGCGAAAUGCGAUACUUGGUGUGAAUUGCAGAAUCCCGUGAACCAUCGAGUCUUUGAACGCAAGUUGCGCCCCAAGCCUUCUGGCCGAGGGCACGUCUGCCUGGGUGUCACAA
rnacentral:rRNA from 1 species